UAUUUUGAACCGCCAAUCAUGCAAAGCUGCUUUCUGGAGCUGACUAUGACUGCUGUGAUUUUUUCCUUCAUGGCAUCAUUCCUUUGCUCUCUCUCCUUUCUCUCCCUCCAGCAGAUUUGUCCCAGGACCACGAUGCAAUGUUUUGCUUCUGAGAUUAUUGUCCUCAUGCGUGAGUGGCAGCUCGAGGCCAAGUGGAAGAAAUUGAAUAGAUUGCUGACUAGACUGGCGUCCAUGACAAACCAGACGGCGCCAAAGUGUCGUCGUUGUGAGGUCAUGAAGGAGCAAAAUGCAACGACCUUUCUUGAACAUCUUCUAUGGACUGUUGAGAAAUCUAACAGUGACUACUGUUAGGACUUUCAGGAGAGACUACAUGGCAUGACUUUCUUUUCGUUAACUUUCUAUUAAACCUCCUGCACACAAAUAAAGUGCAGAAUGCAUGAUGCAGCUCGGUGGUGUUUGAGGUACAGCUAGAGGCUAAUGCGGAGUUCUGGGUGGAAAAAGCUUGCUUGUGGUCUCAUAUCAACUCAUCAGCCAACAUAACAUCUCACUGAUGACGUCAUAAAGAAGACACAGUCAGGUCCCAACUAAGCUGCAGUCAGAUGCUGAGAGCACGCUGGUCACUUUAAUGUGCUUUAAAUAUCUGUAUUUGUAUCUGCUAAUAAUGAGUAUUAUUAUAUUAAUAAGGCUUCUACCAAGCAGUUGGACAGUGGCCUUGGUAAACUGAUGGAAGAACACCAAGGAUGGCGGGAGGAAAACAGAUCUGUCUACAUAUUUCACAACCACAGACACAGAAAUGUGCGACAGUUUCCGAGCAUGUGGGACUUCCUGAGGAUCGCACAACUGGCUCCGUCGAAAGCCACUGCCACAUUAUUCAUGCAUCAGACCUUAUAAGGCAAUGGACAGCUGCAAGGACAGCACUGCUUACGCCUACUGUGGCCAAAAUAUGCUCCUAUACAGCUCUGACGUAAACCUCAUGAACAUGUAAAGCUUUUUCCACUUGUCUAAUAAGCUCAUUCUCUCCCUGCUUUGAUCUGAUGUUCCUGUAUUUAGUUCAGUACAAUAAACUUCAUUUUGAAUGUAA